GCAAAUGGAAGGAUCAACUGCCCAAUCAGAUGAACCAAAAAUGUCUCACCCAAUUCCAACACUGAAGUUGCGAUUUGGGAACCAAUUUUCUCCAAAAACACUCGGUCUCCAUCGACUCCGAAGGUGAAAUCUUUCUCGACUACUCCCUAAUCCCCCAAAAUCAAUCUUUAGCGAAUUUGAAGCACCCCAAAGGGCGGUUGUUGAAUCGAUUAAAUGGAGAGAUUGCUUGAAGUCUUUCGUUUUAUGCAUAAUGAAGCUUCCCGCAUGCUAGCUGCGUUUUAGUUUUUACAGCACCAUAAUUCAUUAAUGGAUGCAGUACAAUUUCUGUUUCGGAGGAAAGAACAAGGGAAUUUGCCACUGUUACAGAGAACCAGGCCACCAAUUUUUGGUAUUCCCAAAGAAGCAGCAAUGUCCAGAUUGUGCCGAAGGCAUCAUAACAUGGAUGGAAUUAGAAAGGACGAAGAACAUGGUUUGAUUAUUCUUUUGUUGCACAAGAAAUUGUGAGUUCUUUGAAUAGAGCAAAUUCCUACCCUCACAAACGUAAACCAUUACAAGAUGAAGGUCAGUUAAAUGUUGUUAAAGACGAACGAAAAGGCUAUCCAAUCAAAGAUCAUUCCAGUUUGUUCAAGAAUGAGGCUAAAAUUACAGAAUAACGAGAGUCAAGAUAUUCCUCAAAAUAAGCUUCUGCAAGAGUAAAGGUGACACGGAAGACAGUGGGAAAGAAAGGGGAAGGGAGUCGUGAAUGUAUUCCACUUAUUGUUGACGACAAAACGAAAAGAACUAGAUUUUCAUUUCCUGUUUGUGUAAUGAUAACUAUACAUUUCAUGCUGUUACUUUCAUGUUUCUUGGUGUUGAUAAACUAGGAAUAAUUUGUUGUACUUGAUGUUUGAAGUUGUGAUGAUGUUAAACCGUGUUCGAUUUUAUCUAGUAUCGAGUAUGUGUUCA